rnacentral:rRNA from 1 species
GACGAACGCUGGCGGCGUGCCUAAUACAUGCAAGUAGAACGCUGAAGGAGGAGCUUGCUUCUCUGGAUGAGUUGCGAACGGGUGAGUAACGCGUAGGUAACCUGCCUGGUAGCGGGGGGUAACUAUUGGAAACGAUAGCUAAUACCGCAUAAUAGCAGUUGUUGCAUGACAACUGUUUGAAAGGUGCAAUUGCACCACUACCAGAUGGACCUGCGUUGUAUUAGCUAGUUGGUGGGGUAACGGCUCACCAAGGCGACGAUACAUAGCCGACCUGAGAGGGUGAUCGGCCACACUGGGACUGAGACACGGCCCAGACUCCUACGGGAGGCAGCAGUAGGGAAUCUUCGGCAAUGGACGGAAGUCUGACCGAGCAACGCCGCGUGAGUGAAGAAGGUUUUCGGAUCGUAAAGCUCUGUUGUAAGAGAAGAACGAGUGUGAGAGUGGAAAGUUCACACUGUGACGGUAUCUUACCGGAAAGGGACGGCUAACUACGUG